CAAUAAAUCCACAUACUGGAGAGGUUACGAUAACAUUUUCUUUUUCUGCUUAUUGUUUCUGACUUUCUGUACGUAUCAAUGUUGUAGUGAUUUCUUGCUUAUUUUUGUGAACUUUGUCUCAUUGUCUUGCAUUUCCUUAACAACAAUGUGAUUACCCAUGAAAAGGAGAAUGUUUCUAAAUACUAAAUAGUUACUUUUAAAACAUUAGUGGCUUCUACUUUAUGAGCCUAUAUGCUGGCUAAAUACUUUUUUUUUCUUGGAAUUAAUGCUGUAAAGAAAUUUCCUCAUCAGUCUUUAUGGUAUGAUUAGUUAUCGGUAUUGAAAA
rnacentral:misc_RNA from 1 species